UUUUGUUAUCUGUAAGAGAUGAUGGAUGUUCACUAAACUUAUUGUGGUUAAUCAUUUAAAAUGUUGUUUUUAAUAAUUGUGUGCUCCGAUUUUACAAGAUCUACAAAUAAUGACCUAGGAGGCUUUGGAGCCUAGCAAAUUUGGAGCCUUGGCUCUCCUAUGCGACCUUGAACAAGUUAUUUUAUUUCUCAAAGCCUGAUUUUUCUCAUUUGUGAAAUAAGGGUUAUAAAAAAAUCUUAAUUGUUACUGUGAAGAUGAAAAGAGUUAAUAUAUUUAAGGUGCUUUGAACAAUUCUGACACAUAAACGAUCAGCUAUAAUGUAUUAUUGUUCUUGUCUUACCAGUUUUCAGUGGGGCAUCAAUAGUCACUGUGAAUGCUGAGGUAUGCAGGACACAGGGCUAUAAUCAAGGCUUGUGGAAAGGGAGAAGGCCAUAAAAAAGGGGGGUGUGAAAGAUGACUUAAUAUAAGUACUUAAUUUUAUUUUUAAAAUUUUUAUUAAAAUUUGGGGGGGAGGCGUUCCCUUCAUGACUCAGCAGAAACCAAUCUAACUAGCAUCCAUGAGGAAGCAGGUUCUUAACCUACUGAGCCAUGAUGGGAACUCUGAGAGUUGUUCAUUUUUAUGAGAGAUGAAUCUGCUUGUGCUGGAUUAUUCACAACACCCCCGUAACACCCAUCCAUCAUCAAUAUUAAUAUUUCUGCAGCAAACAUAUGGAUAAUCAUGGCUUAAUGGACUAAAUAAACCUAUAUAAAGGCUCACAUUAGUUCAAGUUUUGCCAUCACAUGAAUUACCUGCAAGCUUAAAAAAAAAAUCUGUUUUUCAGAGCCUUUUGGGUUUCAGAAUGGCUAAAAAGGAUACAGAAUAUUAUAGCCCCAUUAUACAGGUGAGAAAACUGAGGUUUCCAUCUAUGCAGAGCCUCCCCAAGGUCACACUGAGGGUGAUAGAGCCCGCCUUUGGACUGAGACGGACUGUGCUCACCCGAAGUCACGUCUGAACCUCGGCUUGACUCCAAACCUGUGUUCCCGAGGCAGGAGGGAGGGUACUCAGACCUGCCCUGCUCCACGUUCACCUGAGAAACCCGUGAUGGCUGACAAAUUCAUUUCCACUGGGAAUGAGAUCAAUUUUCUUAUAAAUUAAUAGGCUAGAGCGCAUAUGGGAACGCCUUCUCAAAGAGGUUAGGAAAGUGAAACCAAACUCCAGUCGCGUCUGCGGAGGGGAGGGGCAGGGUGUGUGACUUUCCUGUUCUCGCAAAGCAAAUACCUUGUCCUUCUGUUUUAUCCAACCUCAUGUGCUUUCUGUGAUGCCACUUCUGCUCCGAUGAACAGAGCGCCAGCCUCGGCUUUCCGCGGAGCAGCUGGGGUUUCCCACUGCUGCUUCCACCCGUGCUGCUGGUUCUCUGGAGCUGCUUCCUCUUUCCUUAGAUCAGGUCUCUCUUC
rnacentral:lncRNA from 1 species